GAUGAACGCUGGCGGCGUGCCUAAUACAUGCAAGUCGAGCGAACGGACGAGAAGCUUGCUUCUCUGAUGUUAGCGGCGGACGGGUGAGUAACACGUGGAUAACCUACCUAUAAGACUGGGAUAACUUCGGGAAACCGGAGCUAAUACCGGAUAAUAUUUUGAACCGCAUGGUUCAAAAGUGAAAGACGGUCUUGCUGUCACUUAUAGAUGUAUCCGCGCUGCAUUAGCUAGUUGGUAAGGUAACGGCUUACCAAGGCAACGAUGCAUAGCCGACCUGAGAGGGUGAUCGGCCACACUGGAACUGAGACACGGUCCAGACUCCUACGGGAGGCAGCAGUAGGGAAUCUUCCGCAAUGGGCGAAAGCCUGACGGAGCAAUGCCGCGUGAGUGAUGAAGGUCUUCGGAUCGUAAAACUCUGUUAUUAGGGAAGAACAUAUGUGUAAGUAACUGUGCACAUCUUGACGGUACCUAAUCAGAAAGCCACGGCUAACUACGUG
rnacentral:rRNA from 1 species